CUUGUAAUGUCCCGGGGGCACUGGGAUAUCAGGCGGCGGAAACAGUGUUACAAGGUCGGCGAUAACCCGCCGGUACCACCGGCAGGUUACCGCCGACCUCGUAAUGAGGCCCAUGCUCUCUUCAAUGUUGCAGGGUAUGUUGCCCAGAGUGUUGCGGCUAUGCUGUCCCUCCAUUGUUGUAGGUAUGUUUUUUCUCCAGUCUUGGGGCCUGAUUCACGGAAUUUUUAGCAUGGUGCUAAGUUGCGCUGGCAACAAACACCCUGAUCCACAGAGCGGUGCAAAGUGUAUUUUUGCAGUGCAAAAUGACUUUGCGCUGGUGCAAAGUCACUUUUCACUGCUAAAUACACUUUGCACCGCUCUGUGAAUCAGGGUGUUUUAUGGCAGUGCAUGGUCACUUUGCACUGUGUUAAGGAUUCCAUGAAUCGGGCCCUCGGGAUGUGGUGUCGCCAGUGUUGGGGCUAUGCUGUCUCUCCAUUGUUAUAGUUAUGCUUUCUCUCCAGUCCCGAGUAUGUUGUCCCCAGUGUUAUGGCUAUGCUGCCUCUCCAUUGUCGAAGGUAUUAUUCCUUUCCAAUGAUGGAGGGUAUGCUGUCUGCAAUGUUGCGACUAGGCUGUUUCUCUGCUGUUGGGGCUAUGCUGUCUCUCAAGUGUUGUGGUUUAGCUGUUUAUCCAUUAAUGGGAGUCUGCUCUUUUCAAUGUUGUGGGAGGGAGGCUGUCUCUAGUUUAGGGGCUAUGCUAUUUCUCCACUGUCAGGGGGGUAUGUUGUCAAAGGUGUUUGUGCUAAGCUGUUGCUCCAGUUUCUGAGACAUGCACUCCCCAAUGUUGUGGGCAUGUUGUAUCCAGUGUUGGAGGAAUUAUGACUCUCGACAUUGGGCAGGCAUCAUACCUCCAAGGUUGUCUCUUUUAUUAGGGUAUACUGUCUGUGGGGUGUGACCAAAGGCCACAAAACCAUGGAACUGAAGGGCCCAUGCGAAAAAUUACCUGCCAGCCUUAAUUAAAAAAAAUAACAGAAACUUCACACUGAAAAGCAACCCAUUGUGGGGUUUCUGCAAGUAACACAAAGGACCAAGUGAAAAAGGUCUACCUCGCAUUACCAAAGGAAAGGCAGCACUUUUGGUAAACAGAACUGACGCUGUGAGAUGAACCGAACGCUGGGUUAAGGCGCCCGAUGCUAACGCUCAUCAGACCCAGAAAAGGUGUUGGUUGAUAUAGACAGCAGGACGGUGGCCAUGGAAGUCAGAAUCCGCUAAGGAGUGUGUAACAACUCAUUGCCGAAUCAACUAGCCCUGAAAAUGGAUGGCGCUGGAGCAUCUGGCCCAUACCCGGCCGGCGCUGAGAGCCGUGGAGGAUAAUCUGCGACGAGCAGGAGGGCCGCUGCGGGGCGUACGUAAGACCGGUGAGUGCCCGCGGUGGAGUUGCUGCAGGUGCAGAUAUUGGUGGUAGUAGCAAAUAUUCAAACAAGAACUUUGAAGGCUGAAGUGGAGAUGAGUUCCAUGUGAACAGCAGUUUAAAAUGGGUGAGUCGGUCCUAAGAAAUUGUUGAGUGCAAUUUGGAAGGGACGGGCGAUGGCCUCUGUUGCCCUCAGUCGAUCGAAAGGGAGUUGGGUUAAGAUCCCUGAACUCUGAGUGACAGAGACGGGCGCCCUCGUUGCACCCAGUGCUAUAACGCAAAUGAUCCCAGAGAAGCUGGCAGGAUCCUUGGGGAGAGUUCUGUUUUCUUUGUGAAGGGCUGGGCACCCUGGAACGGGUUUGCCCCGAGAGAGUGGCCCGAGCCUUGGAAAGCAUUGCAGUUCCGGCAGCAUCCUGUGAGCUCUCGCUGGUCCUUGAAAAUCCGGGGGAGAGGGUGUAAAUCUCGCACCGGGCCGUGGCCCAUAUCCGCAGCAGUUCUACAAGGUGAACAGCCUCUGGCAUGUUGGAACAAUGUAGGUAAGGGAAGUUGGCAAGUCGGAUCCUUAACUUCGGGGAACGGCUGGGUCGGUCGGGCUGGGGUGCGAAGCGGGGCUGGCCGCGCGCUGCGGCAGGACGAGAUGUCUCCUCCCCGGAGGGCGGCGCCGACUCUGGAUGUGAGCUAGGUCUUUCCUGUGGAUCUCCCCAGCUGCGGUGGUCACCUCUCUCCAUUCCCCUGCCAGGGUUCAGGGCCGGCAUUCUGCCUCGGCUGAGGCCUAGCCGCUGAUUUAGAACUAGUGCGGACCAGGGGAAUAUGACUGUUAAAUUAAAACAAAGCAUCGCGUAAGGCCCACGGUGUGUGUUGACACGAUUUCUGCCCAGUGUUCUGAAUGUCAAAGUGAAGAAAUUCAAUGAAGCGUGGGUAAACGGCAAGAGUAACUUUGACUCUCUUAAGGUAGCCAAAUGCUUUGUCAUCUAAUUAUUGAUGCGUAUGAAUGAAUGAUCUAGAUUCCCACUGUCCCUACCUACUAUCUAGCUAAACCACAACCAAGGGAACAGGCUUGGCAGAAUCAGCGGGGACAGAAGACCCGUUGCGAUUCACUCUUGUUGGUCACUGU
rnacentral:rRNA from 1 species